rnacentral:rRNA from 1 species
AUGGCUUCUUCUGCACCGCCGGCGCCGGCCGAGAGACCGCACGCCGUGUGCCUGCCGGCGGCCGCGCAGGGGCACAUCAUCCCGAUGCUCGACGUUGCCAAGAUGCUCCACGCCCGCGGCUUCCACGUCACCUUCGUCAACACCGAGUACAACCACGCCCGCCUCGUUCGCUCCCGCGGCCCCGCCGCGGUGGCCGGCGUCCCGGGCUUCCGCUUCGCCACCAUCCCGGACGGCCUGCCGCCGUCUGACGACGACGUCACGCAGGACGUCGCGUCGCUGUGCAAGUCCACCACGGAGACCUGCCUCGGGCCCUUCCGCCGCCUCCUCGUGGACCUCAACGCAGGCGGCCCGCCCGUGACCUGCGUCGUCUCCGACGUCGUCAUGGACUUCUCCAUGGAGGCGGCCAGGGAGCUCGGCCUCCCCUACGUCCAGCUGUGGACGGCCAGCGCCAUCAGCUUCCUCGGCUUCCGCCACUACCGCCUCCUCUUCGCCCGCGGCCUCGCGCCGAUCAAAGACGUCGAACAGCUUACGGACGAGUACCUUGACACGCCGGUGGAGGACGUGCCAGGCCUGAGGAACAUGAGGUUCAGGGACUUCCCGAGCUUCAUACGCAGCCCGGCACCGGACGACUACAUGCUGCAUUUCGCGCUCCGUAUAACGGAGCGCGCGGCCGGCGCGUCAGCCGUGAUCGUCAACACCUUCGGCGACCUCGAGGGCGAGGCAGUGGCGGCCAUGGAGGCGCUCGGCCUGCCCAAGGUCUACACCAUCGGCCCGGUCUCGCUGCUGGCGCCGCUCAAGGGUCCAAGUUCCACCAUCAGCAUGAGCCUCUGGAAGCCGGAGGAGGAGUGCCUCCCGUGGCUCGACGACAAGGACGCCGGCUCCGUCGUGUACGUCAACUUCGGAAGCAUCACCGUCAUGACCAACGAGCAGCUGGUGGAGUUCGCGUGGGGGCUCGCCAAGAGCGGCAGGCACUUCCUCUGGGUCAUCCGCCCGGACCUCGUCAAGGGCGACACCGCCGUGCUUCCGCCGGAGUUCUCGGACGAGACGGCGGGGCGCGGGCUGGUGGCCUCCUGGUGCCCGCAGCAGGAGGUGCUGCGCCACCCGGCCGUGGGCGCGUUCCUGACGCACAGCGGCUGGAACUCGACGCUGGAGAGCAUGUGCGGCGGCGUGCCCGUCAUCAGCUGGCCGUUCUUCGCGGACCAGCAGACCAACUGCCGGUACCAGUGCACCGAAUGGGGCGUCGGCAUGGAGAUCGACGGCAGCGUCCGGCGCGACGCCAUCACGGACCUCAUCACGGAGGUCAUGGACGGGGAGAAGGGGAAGGUGAUGAAGAAGAAGGCGCGGGAGUGGAGGGAGAAGGCACUCAAGGCGACCGAGCCCGGCGGUUCUUCUCGCCGCAACUUCGACGAGUUGAUCCGCGACGUGCUAGCUCCGUCUUUCCACGGCGAUCCUGCUAGCUAG